rnacentral:rRNA from 1 species
UACGAAGGGGGCUAGCGUUGCUCGGAAUCACUGGGCGUAAAGCGCACGUAGGCGGAUUGCUAAGUCAGGGGUGAAAUCCUGGAGCUCAACUCCAGAACUGCCUUUGAUACUGAGGAUCUUGAGUUCGGGAGAGGUGAGUGGAACUGCGAGUGUAGAGGUGAAAUUCGUAGAUAUUAGGAAGAACACCAGUGGCGAAGGCGGCUCACUGGCCCGGUACUGACGCUGAGGCGCGAAAGCGUGGGGAGCAAACAGG